CCUACGGGUGGCAGCAGUGGGGAAUAUUGGACAAUGGGCGAAAGCCUGAUCCAGCCAUGCCGCGUGUGUGAAGAAGGCCUUCGGGUUGUAAAGCACUUUCAGUGGGGAAGAAAGCCUUGGGGCUAAUACCCUCGAGGAAGGACAUCACCCACAGAAGAAGCACCGGCUAACUCCGUGCCAGCAGCCGCGGUAAUACGGAGGGUGCGAGCGUUAAUCGGAAUUACUGGGCGUAAAGCGCGCGUAGGCGGUCUGAUAAGCCGGUUGUGAAAGCCCCGGGCUCAACCUGGGAACGGCAUCCGGAACUGUCAGGCUAGAGUGCAGGAGAGGAAGGUAGAAUUCCCGGUGUAGCGGUGAAAUGCGUAGAGAUCGUGAGGAAUACCAGUGGCGAAGGCGGCCUUCUGGACUGACACUGACGCUGAGGUGCGAAAGCGUGGGUAGCAAACAGGAUUAGAUACCCCGGUAGUC
rnacentral:rRNA from 1 species